AGAGUUUGAUCCUGGCUCAGGAUGAACGCUGGCGGCGUGCUUAACACAUGCAAGUCGAACGAACCUUCGGGUUAGUGGCGGACGGGUGAGUAACGCGUGGGAAUCUGCCCUCAGGAGGGGGAUAACGGUUGGAAACGACCGCUAAUACCCCAUAUGCCGAGAGGUGAAAUGAAUUUCGCCUGAGGAUGAGCCCGCGUCUGAUUAGCUAGUUGGUGUGGUAAUGGCUCACCAAGGCUUCGAUCAGUAGCUGGUCUGAGAGGAUGAUCAGCCACACUGGGACUGAGACACGGCCCAGACUCCUACGGGAGGCAGCAGUGGGGAAUUUUCCGCAAUGGGCGAAAGCCUGACGGAGCAACGCCGCGUGAGGGAUGAAGGCCUCUGGGCUGUAAACCUCUUUUCUCAAGGAAGAAGAUCUGACGGUACUUGAGGAAUAAGCCACGGCUAAUUCCGUGCCAGCAGCCGCGGUAAUACGGGAGUGGCAAGCGUUAUCCGGAAUUAUUGGGCGUAAAGCGUCCGCAGGCGGCCUUUCAAGUCUGCUGUUAAAACGUGGAGCUUAACUCCAUCAUGGCAGUGGAAACUGUUGGGCUUGAGUGUGGUAGGGGCAGAGGGAAUUCCCGGUGUAGCGGUGAAAUGCGUAGAUAUCGGGAAGAACACCAGUGGCGAAGGCGCUCUGCUGGGCCAUCACUGACGCUCAUGGACGAAAGCCAGGGGAGCGAAAGGGAUUAGAUACCCCUGUAGUCCUGGCCGUAAACGAUGAACACUAGGUGUCGGGGGAAUCGACCCCUUCGGUGUCGUAGCCAACGCGUUAAGUGUUCCGCCUGGGGAGUACGCACGCAAGUGUGAAACUCAAAGGAAUUGACGGGGGCCCGCACAAGCGGUGGAGUAUGUGGUUUAAUUCGAUGCAACGCGAAGAACCUUACCAGGAUUUGACAUCCUGCGAAUCUCUUGGAAACGAGAGAGUGCCUUCGGGAACGCAGUGACAGGUGGUGCAUGGCUGUCGUCAGCUCGUGUCGUGAGAUGUUGGGUUAAGUCCCGCAACGAGCGCAACCCACGUUUUUAGUUGCCAGCAUUUAGUUGGGCACUCUAGAGAGACCGCCGGUGAUAAACCGGAGGAAGGUGUGGAUGACGUCAAGUCAUCAUGCCCCUUACAUCCUGGGCUACACACGUACUACAAUGCUACGGACAAAGGGCAGCAAGUUCGCGAGGACAAGCAAAUCCCAUAAACCGUGGCUCAGUUCAGAUCGUAGGCUGCAACUCGCCUACGUGAAGGAGGAAUCGCUAGUAAUCGCAGGUCAGCAUACUGCGGUGAAUACGUUCCCGGGCCUUGUACACACCGCCCGUCACACCAUGGAAGUUGGCCACGCCCGAAGUCGUUACUCCAACCCUUGUGGAGGAGGACGCCGAAGGUGGGGCUGAUGACUGGGGUGAAGUCGUAACAAGGUAUCCGUACCGGAAGGUGCGGAUG
rnacentral:rRNA from 1 species